CCCCUAGAUGUUCUGGGCCGCACGCGCGCUACACUGAACAGUUCAACAAGUCUUAACCUUGGCCGAUAGGUCUGGGUAAUCUUUGAACGCUGUUCGUGAUUGGGAUAGACCUUUGCAAUUAUGGGUCUUCAACGAGGAAUGCCUAGUAAGCGCAAGUCAUCAGCUUGCGUUGAUUACGUCCCUGCCCUUUGUACACACCGCCCGUCGCUCCUACCGAUUGAAUGGUCCGGUGAAGCGUUCGGACCGUGGCCUUUGGACGGUUCGCCGUCUGUUGGCUGCGGGAAGUUCGUUAAACCUUNUNAUUUAGNGGAAGGAGAANUCGUANCA
rnacentral:rRNA from 1 species